rnacentral:rRNA from 1 species
AGGUAACGCCUGCCCAGUGAGGCCCCCUCCCCUUAAACGGCCGCGAUAUAACCGUGCAAAGGUAGCACAAUCACUUGUCCUUUAAAUAGGGACUAGUAUGAACGGCUACAUGAGAAAGUAACUGUCUCUUAGGAUUGAUCUGUGAAACUUAUCUCCUCGUACAAAAGCGAGAAUAAAAAAAUAAGACAAAAAGACCCUGUGAAGCUUAAAACCAAAUUUCAACCAAAAUGAAACACGUUUUUAGUUGGGGCAACUAAGGAGAAACAAAACCUCCACAAACAUCAAGACCCACAAGCCUAAACAACUCAAACCAUGACCCGAUAACAUCGAACAAAGAACCAAGUUACUCCAGGGAUAACAGCACCACAUUCUUGCAGAGUCCAUAUCAACAAGAAUACCUACGACCUCGAUGUUGGAUCAGGAUAUCCUGAUGGUGCAGAAGCUAUCAAGGGUCCGUUUGUUCAACGGUUAAAAUCCUACGUGAUCUGAGUCA